UCUUAUGGAUGAGCAAAGAAAGCAGUUUCUUGAAAUGGAAUCUACUGUUGAAGAUGCUGUGGA
rnacentral:pre_miRNA from 1 species